rnacentral:lncRNA from 14 species
UCCAAAAGAAGGGAGGAGCUGGCAUCACACCCAUGGUUUAAUGCUAACCAGGAACAAUGCUGUAGAUGCUGCUGAAAGUGAAGGACCUGCUCCAACUUAAGGACCUGCUCCAACUUCUGAGAAACUACAAGGUCACAAUCAACCACCAAGUGGUCACCUGAAAGAAAAGAAGAGGAAAUUUGCAGCUCUUUUCACAAGAAACCAAGAGGACCCAAACCCAGUUCCCAGCACCCACAAGGAGGCCCAUAAAUUCCACAACUCCAGCAUCCAGAUCUCCAUGGUCAAGG